UUUCAAAACCUCUUCCACGGGUUCGGCUUUUGUGUUUUGCUUGAGGGCAAGCAAAAGCUAAGUCUGGGGGAGUUGAUAUAUCCCUAUUUUUACUGAUUUAAUCUAUGAUUUUGAGUCUUUAUGUUAUUUCUCGAGUCUUUUUAGUGUCUUUUCAGGUAUUCUAUGCAAUGGGACAACAAUGGAGAUAAGGAGAUAUUUUGGAGCAAAAGCUAAGGAAAAGGAAGCUAAGGACGAUUUCAGUUCCAGAUUCAGCGAGAGUGUCGAUCGACACACACCUCGUGUUGAUCGACACCAGUUUCGGCCCAGCAAAGUCCAUGAUGCUUUCAUGUUUAUAGAAGAGGAAAUUUGCCCCAGAAGACUUCCCUAUUUGCUUUAUUAGUCCCUGGAUGUUUUAUAGGGUUCUUAUAUAGUUGUUUAGACCUAAGUUUCUUUUAUGAAGUUCUUUGCAAAUCCCUAUUUUCAGAGACAUAAGCUAUUCAUCCCUUGUUCUCGAGAGAUUCAUUCAGUUUUCAAUACAGUGAAGACAUCCCUUCUUACUCUAAUCUUAUUUGAUGUGUUUAUGCUUUUUUACUCA
rnacentral:sRNA from 1 species